AAAAAAUAUUCUACAUAGAUGAGACCCAGGAGUAUCUCACUGCCCUAGCAGGAAGCUGUUCCAAGAAGUAAGCUGGAGGCAUAAGAUGUCAAGCACCAUCUUAACUUCUUCAUGAAAUAACAAAUACAGCGUCAAGGUUUGAGAUUUUUCUUCAACCAGCACAUGGAAAAAAAAAAUUCUAACCCAGGAUCUCUGAAGAUGACACACAUUUUAAUGGGGAAAAAUAAUAAACAUAAAUAAAAUCAAA